rnacentral:rRNA from 1 species
UACGUAGGCGGAAAAUUAAGUCAGUAGUGAAAUCCUGCAGCUCAACUGUAGAACUGUUAUUGAUACUGGUUUUCUUGAAUGUAGUUGAGGUAGGCGGAAUGUGUAAUGUAGCGGUGAAAUGCUUAGAUAUUACACAGAACACCGAUUGCGAAGGCAGCUUACUAAGCUACGAUUGACGCUGAGGUACGAAAGCGUGGGGAGCGAACAGGAUUAGAUACCCUGGUAGUC